rnacentral:rRNA from 1 species
AUGUUUUGUGGGAUUUUUGCUGGAACCAGAGUAAUUUGUUGCUGGAACCGGCUGUUUCUUUUGCUACAAUCAAAUUUGAUGGAGUUUGAUGUUCGUGGGAUUUUUGCUGGAACCAGAGUAAACUAUUGCUGGAACCGGCUAUCUCUUUUGCUACAAUCAAAUUUGUUGGAGUUUGAUGUUCGUGGAAUUUUUGCUGGAACCAGAGUAAAUUAUUGCUGGAACCGGCUGUUUCUUUUGCUACAUCCAUUCAUGACAGAGAUACGACCCGGCCGGGACGGCGAACGAUGCCUCGUUUUGCUACAAACCAUCACCGGCGUCGACCCCGUGCUACAACCGCGUUGCUUUUUGCUUCAACCGACAACCGCAAAAGCUACUAACUAG